UCCUGAACUUUACUGAAUUCAAACAAAAUGAAGAUCUUCGCUUGUGUGAUCGCUGCUCUCCUCUUGUCAUCAGCUAACGCCUACAGGGGAGCUAUGUCUUCUUACACGGAUGUCAGGGAUGACAAAAAAUAGAAAUAUAGCCACUAUGUACAUAUAUCCCUGAUGCCAUAUUCAAGCAUACAAAUUUAAAACAGAAAACAAUAAUUGUACGAAUACGAUGAAACACAUUUCCUACAUACAUAUACAUACCUAAUACAUACCUACAAUUGGGUUUGUGGAAUAUCAAUUCACGUUCUUCGCAGGCUUAAAUUAAAAAAAUAGAACACAGAAAAUGUGGCAACCGCAGCAAGAAGCGGAGACCUACACGAUUGUACAGUGAAUCGCUUCUGGUGCCUAUCUUUUAUAUCCAAUCGAAGUCAGUGGCUGUUCAGGCGUGAGCCAUUUAGCAGUGCCUCAAUAAGCCGUACAGAGUAGAAAAAGGAGGAACACAAGCACCUACCCAGAGAAGGACUCCACUUCGGAGAGAGCUAAGCUGCUUUGCAUAUAGGUCAAGGAACUGGUUAAAUACAAUCUUUUUGAGUGGCCAUUGGCUUCAAUUCUCUGGACGAAAAAGUUAAAGUUAAAGUUGGAUAACAAUUAA